rnacentral:rRNA from 1 species
GUGGCGAACGGGUGAGUAAUACAUCGGAACGUGCCCUGUAGUGGGGGAUAACUAGUCGAAAGAUUAGCUAAUACCGCAUACGACCUGAGGGUGAAAGUGGGGGACCGCAAGGCCUCAUGCUAUAGGAGCGGCCGAUGUCUGAUUAGCUAGUUGGUGGGGUAAAGGCCCACCAAGGCGACGAUCAGUGGCUGGUCUGAGAGGACGAUCAGCCACACUGGGACUGAGACACGGCCCAGACUCCUACGGGAGGCAGCAGUGGGGAAUUUUGGACAAUGGGCGAAAGCCUGAUCCAGCAAUGCCGCGUGUGUGAAGAAGGCCUUCGGGUUGUAAAGCACUUUUGUCCGGAAAGAAAUGGCUCUGGUUAAUACCUGGGGUCGAUGACGGUACCGGAAGAAUAAGGACCGGCUAACUACGUGCCAGCAGCCGCGGUAAUACGUAGGGUCCAAGCGUUAAUCGGAAUUACUGGGCGUAAAGCGUGCGCAGGCGGUUGUGCAAGACCGAUGUGAAAUCCCCGAGCUUAACUUGGGAAUUGCAUUGGUGACUGCACGGCUAGAGUGUGUCAGAGGGGGGUAGAAUUCCACGUGUAGCAGUGAAAUGCGUAGAGAUGUGGAGGAAUACCGAUGGCGAAGGCAGCCCCCUGGGAUAACACUGACGCUCAUGCACGA